CAACCAUGUUGCAUGUCUUCCUCGAUGGGGGCCACCUUCCAGCUAGGCUAGUCUCUGGAAAUCACAUGUAAACCAGCCAGAAGCCAUAUUUCCUUUGCUACUUCCACCAAAAAGAUCCAAAUCUUUUCCCCUUUUAUUUCUAUCUCUACUGGAUCCCACCAUUUUGUUGAUCUAAUACCUUUUAUGAUUCAAGUUUUGAUACAUCUCUGCUAGAUCUAUUGUAUUUCAUGUGACUCCUCACCAGUUGUCCAGCUGCUAUAGCAGACAUGAGGGAUAGCUCACCUGCAAGAACAGAGCCAGCCACAAUGGUGGCUAAAAGCCUUGAGUUAGCUCCCGGAGACUCUUUGCUAGCACCCUUCACACCAAGAAGAUUCAAACAAGCGGAUUGAGAUGCAAGUUGAGUUCCACCUCCAACAGUACCAACCUGAAGAAAAUAAGCAAGAAGGUAGAAUGGAUAAAGUUUGAGAUAUAAGGUAUAUAUAUGAAAAAAAAAACGAAUGAAUACGAUGUAUUUGUAACCUCAAUGGAAGGCAUUGUGACAGAGAUAUGCAAAUCUCUGCCGUUGUUAACAGGUUCCAUCAUAGUGAUGCAGUGAGAACUCUCCACAUUUUGUGCUGGAUCUUGACCAGUUGCUAAGAAAACAGCAGAUACAAU
rnacentral:lncRNA from 1 species